CUCUGUUCUACGGACUUUCUCACAGCUGUUUUUCAAAGCAGGCCACCAGUUCAGGAGAUUGCCUCAUAUUUCUACGUCUGGUUCAUGGAUAUUUGGGAGAGGUCUCUGCUUCCCUCAGAUCAGACAGCACUGCUGACAUUUAUAAUUAUUCCCAAUGGAGGAGGUUUUUCA